AGAGUUUGAUCCUGGCUCAGGACGAACGCUGGCGGCGUGCCUAAUACAUGCAAGUAGAACGCUGAAGGAGGAGCUUGCUUCUCUGGAUGAGUUGCGAACGGGUGAGUAACGCGUAGGUAACCUGCCUGGUAGCGGGGGAUAACUAUUGGAAACGAUAGCUAAUACCGCAUAAGAGUAGAUGUUGCAUGACAUUUACUUAAAAGGUGCACUUGCAUCACUACCAGAUGGACCUGCGUUGUAUUAGCUAGUUGGUGGGGUAACGGCUCACCAAGGCGACGAUACAUAGCCGACCUGAGAGGGUGAUCGGCCACACUGGGACUGAGACACGGCCCAGACUCCUACGGGAGGCAGCAGUAGGGAAUCUUCGGCAAUGGACGGAAGUCUGACCGAGCAACGCCGCGUGAGUGAAGAAGGUUUUCGGAUCGUAAAGCUCUGUUGUAAGAGAAGAACGAGUGUGAGAGUGGAAAGUUCACACUGUGACGGUAUCUUACCAGAAAGGGACGGCUAACUACGUGCCAGCAGCCGCGGUAAUACGUAGGUCCCGAGCGUUGUCCGGAUUUAUUGGGCGUAAAGCGAGCGCAGGCGGUUAGAUAAGUCUGAAGUUAAAGGCUGUGGCUUAACCAUAGUAGGCUUUGGAAACUGUUUAACUUGAGUGCAAGAGGGGAGAGUGGAAUUCCAUGUGUAGCGGUGAAAUGCGUAGAUAUAUGGAGGAACACCGGUGGCGAAAGCGGCUCUCUGGCUUGUAACUGACGCUGAGGCUCGAAAGCGUGGGGAGCAAACAGGAUUAGAUACCCUGGUAGUCCACGCUGUAAACGAUGAGUGCUAGGUGUUAGACCCUUUCCGGGGUUUAGUGCCGUAGCUAACGCAUUAAGCACUCCGCCUGGGGAGUACGACCGCAAGGUUGAAACUCAAAGGAAUUGACGGGGGCCCGCACAUGCGGUGGAGCAUGUGGUUUAAUUCGAAGCAACGCGAAGAACCUUACCAGGUCUUGACAUCCCUCUGACCGCUCUAGAGAUAGAGCUUUCCUUCGGGACAGAGGUGACAGGUGGUGCAUGGUUGUCGUCAGCUCGUGUCGUGAGAUGUUGGGUUAAGUCCCGCAACGAGCGCAACCCCUAUUGUUAGUUGCCAUCAUUUAGUUGGGCACUCUAGCGAGACUGCCGGUAAUAAACCGGAGGAAGGUGGGGAUGACGUCAAAUCAUCAUGCCCCUUAUGACCUGGGCUACACACGUGCUACAAUGGCUGGUACAACGAGUCGCAAGCCGGUGACGGCAAGCUAAUCUCUUAAAGCCAGUCUCAGUUCGGAUUGUAGGCUGCAACUCGCCUACAUGAAGUCGGAAUCGCUAGUAAUCGCGGAUCAGCACGCCGCGGUGAAUACGUUCCCGGGCCUUGUACACACCGCCCGUCACACCACGAGAGUUUGUAACACCCGAAGUCGGUGAGGUAACCGUAAGGAGCCAGCCGCCUAAGGUGGGAUAGAUGAUUGGGGUGAAGUCGUAACAAGGUAGCCGUAUCGGAAGGUGCGGCUGGAUCACCU
rnacentral:rRNA from 1 species